rnacentral:rRNA from 1 species
UUCCGGUUGAUCCCGCCGGACCCGACUGCUAUCAGAGUGGGACUAAGCCAUGCGAGUCAACAUAGCAAUAUGUGGCAUACGGCUCAGUAACACGUAGUCAACAUGCCCAGGGGACGUGGAUAACCUCGGGAAACUGAGGAUAAACCGCGAUAAGUCACUACUUCUGGAAUGGGUAAUGACUCAAAUCUAUAUGGCCCCUGGAUUGGACUGCGGCCGAUCAGGCUGUUGGUGAGGUAAUGGCCCACCAAACCUGUAACCGGUACGGGCUCUGGGAGGAGGAGCCCGGAGAUGGGCACUGAGACAAGGGCCCAGGCCCUAUGGGGCGCAGCAGGCGCGAAACCUCUGCAAUAGGCGAAAGCCUGACAGGGUUACUCUGAGUGAUUUCCGUUAAGGAGAUCUUUUGGCGCCUCUAAAAAUGGUGCAGAAUAAGGGGUGGGCAAGUCUGGUGUCAGCCGCCGCGGUAAUACCAGCACCCCGAGUGGUCGGGACGUUUAUUGGGCCUAAAGCAUCCGUAGCCGGUUCUACAAGUCUUCCGUUAAAUCCACCUGCUUAACAGAUGGGCUGCGGAAGAUACUAUAGAGCUAGGAGGCGGGAGAGGCAAGCGGUACUCGAUGGGUAGGGGUAAAAUCCGUUGAUCCAUUGAAGACCACCAGUGGCGAAGGCGGCUUGCCAGAACGCGCUCGACGGUGAGGGAUGAAAGCUGGGGGAGCAAACCGGAUUAGAUACCCGGGUAGUCCCAG